rnacentral:lncRNA from 1 species
UCCCGAUGUUGAUAUUAUGUUCUGUAUAUUCCCUCCAAGUCAAACCUACCGCACGUUACAUGCACGUCGUGCCGGAAUGAGCUGGUUGCCAAUUAAAAUCGACUGUACAGCUGGAGCGUAGGACUUGCCCAUAGUGAAUUAAGUCUGAAAGCUGAGUUCGUGUAGGAUUUUCUGCACAAAUCAGUCAGGUUGUGAUUAAAGUUCAGUUAACAACCGGCCGGCUACGCAUGCAUCAGGUUAGGUUUACAGUUGAUUCGUUGUAUAUAUGUGUGUUGGCUGUAAUGAGCUGUUUUAAUUUCUGAACUAACUAUGGCAUUGACAUGGCCCUGGUCGUAGUUUAAUUUACGCCCACUUUGCGCAAAAAAAGGAGAGUUUAAUUUUCGCCCACGUACGCUCCGAUUUAGCAAACUAUCUAUGCAUAUACACAUAUACGGAUAUAAACAGAUGAAGACAAAACCUGCAAUUUGCAGGCCGGCACAUAAGUAUGUUAUCCAAAGGGCAGGUUCCUUAACUGAAACCAAAUCAGAGGGGGCAGACGAUGAGAAGAAAUUAAGUCGGCACGCCACAAAAUUAACAAUCUGUGCUUUUCAAAAAAAGAAAAAAAAAGUGAUUAGCCCGGACAGGUGUACGUUGGGCGGCACGUAGAAUAUCUGCUAGGCUCCUGAUACAUGCGUCCGCAGCAGGUCGCGGUCCAGCGACUCAACGUCUACACCACCACUUGCCGUAUUGCACGCGUCCUGCAUGCAUGCAAUACGUAUAUUUUGUUGGCAUUCGAUCGCAUGACGGCAUGAGGACAAUCGGCCGGACACUCACAAUAUAUAAAUAAAAUACGGUAUGUAUCACGUAUUGUAUCUACGUAGUGAUAGCUAAUGAUGAACCGAUACAUCUCGAUCGAUGAAUGGAGAAAAACGGAGAGGCAACAAGGGCUUCGCCAUCGCGGUAAGACAAGUGUCCUUUUACCGGCAGAUCGUCGAGGGGGACUCAUGCAGAAAGAGAAAUGCAUGUGUCAGCAGCUUGGCCGGAUAUUUUUACCGUCGACGGGCCGGCGACCCUCUCUAGCUCGUAGAGAAUCAACGUGACAUUCCUAUUUGGAAAUCCAAUUAAAGGAGAUAUAUGUGCCCCUGUUGCACGUGUA